GUAAAAUUUGCUUAUGUACAUACUUGUCUACAUAACGUUGGUUUUGUAGUGCCCAACUACUAUUGUACCUUUCUUUGGUGACCAACCUUUUUGGGGAGAACGAGUGCAUGCCAGGGGACUGGGACCCCCACCUAUCCCUGUUGAUCAAUUUUCACUAGAAAAAUUGGUUGAUGCAAUAAUGUUCAUGAUGACACCGAAGGUGAAAGAAAAUGCUGUCCAACUAGCCAAAGCCAUGGAAAUGGAGGAUGGUGUUUCUGGAGCUGUUAAAGCAUUUCUAAAGCAUCUUCCUCCAAAAAUCUCACCUCAAGUUACACCUGAACCGUCAAGCUUCGUGGAUUUCUUGGUUGCUCCUAUUAGAAGGUGUUUUUUUUCACCUCAAGUUACAUUCUGUGCAUUUUAUGUUGUUAAAGAAAGGCAUUUAUGGUGGAACAUAUAUCUAUAUGCUAGAGUACAUAUAUCUUACC